rnacentral:rRNA from 1 species
GAUGAACGCUGGCGGCGUGCUUAACACAUGCAAGUCGAACGGUGAAGGCGGAGCUUGCUCUGCUGGAUCAGUUGCGAACGGGUGAGUAACACGUGAGCAAUCUGCCCCUGACUCUGGGAUAAGCGCUGGAAACGGCGUCUAAUACUGGAUACGAGCUGCGAAGGCAUCUUCAGCAGCUGGAAAGAACUUCGGUCAGGGAUGAGCUCGCGGCCUAUCAGCUUGUUGGUGAGGUAACGGCUCACCAAGGCGUCGACGGGUAGCCGGCCUGAGAGGGUGACCGGACACACUGGGACUGAGACGCGGCCCAGACUCCUACGGGAGGCAGCAGUGGGGAAUAGUGCACAAUGGGCGAAAGCCUGAUGCAGCAACGCCGCGUGAGGGACGACGGCCUUCGGGUUGUAAUCCUCUUUUAGCAGGGAAGAAGCGAAAGUGACGGUACCUGCAGAAAAAGCGCCGGCUAACUACGUG